UGUCCCGUAGCUCAACUGGCAGAGCGUCGCGCUUUGAUCGCGAAGGUUGCGGGUUCGAACCCCGCCGGGGCCA
rnacentral:tRNA from 2 species